rnacentral:lncRNA from 1 species
GUGUGUUUUUUGAACCGUUUUAACCGCCACUGGAGGGGGAUCACGGAUGGGGUUUUCUGUAGUAGUGCUUGGCCGAGUCGAACUGUCAGAAAAAUAAACUGAAUAAUUUUUGUUGAGUUUGCAAUGGCAAACCCGAUUUAUAUUUCCAUGGAUCGACUGAUAAUGGCCCCUUUCUCGCCAUGUACAUGUGUAAGUGCAGAGAGCAAAUACGUUGAUUUGUCCACACUACCAAGUAUUCCCUCCAUUCCUAAAUACAACUCAUAUAUAUUUGUGCACUUGGACCAAACCAUCUCUCAUUUCUCGUGCCUUACCACUGAUAUUGGGUUAAUAAUAAAUAGAGAAUUCCAUAUUGGCCAUUGAGAAUUUGCCCGUAUGCCCAGAUGCCACUGAGAAUUUCCCUAUUCCAAAUAUGCCACUCAAAUUUUGCACGGAGUACAAAUAUGCCACUACUGUUAGUUGACCGCUAGUUGACCGUUAAGUAAAAGAUGAAAAGACAAUUUUGCCCCUAUGUAAUAUGUUGAUGUUCCGUUUACAACAAAUUACUCAUUUUCGAAAACUUAGCUUUUCAAGGUUUUUAGGAUGCCCAUAAUACCUUCCGGAGUAAGUUUCAGCAAUAAUGAUUUUAGCAUGAAAAAUUGUAAAAUUUCAAUAGCACUUCCCUUAAUUUUAAUUAACAUCACAAAAUUCAUAAUAGAUUCAGCAAAUUAAUAUACUAAAACUCAUCAUAAUUUGUGGAGAGAGAGAGGGAGAAGAGACCGAGAGGGUAUUUUAGUUUUCUUGUUUCUUUUUGUUUUUUCUGACCUGUGGACCAGGGGUAUUUCGGUCAUGUUGUAAUAUAAUAAAAUCUUACGUGGCGACAACAAGUCAACAAACUCCAAGGAUCGGUCAAUUUGCCAACAUGCCAUAGUCAUGCCAACUAGGUGCCGGUCAAAGAAGUCAACGAGUUAAGCUUCUCAUGCCAUGGUCAAAGGGGAGGAGGAGCUUGAGUAGAGGCCA